rnacentral:tRNA from 1 species
GCGAAAGUGGCGGAAUUGGUAGACGCGCUGGAUUUAGGUUCCAGUGGAUAACUCCGUGGGGGUUCGAGUCCCCCCUUUCGCACCA